UACGUAGGGUGCGAGCGUUGUCCGGAAUUAUUGGGCGUAAAGAGCUCGUAGGCGGUGUGUCACGUCGGCCGUGAAAACCUGCAGCUUAACUGUGGGCGUGCGGUCGAUACGGGCAUCACUGGAGUUCGGCAGGGGAGACUGGAAUUCCUGGUGUAGCGGUGAAAUGCGCAGAUAUCAAGAGGAACACCAGUGGCGAAGGCGGAUCUCUGGGCCUUACCUGACGCUCAGGCGCGAAAGCUAGGGGAGCAAACAGG
rnacentral:rRNA from 1 species